CCCGUUUUUGCAGGAGGAGGCAGCGACCCCGAGGGUGCCCCGGUCCGAGGCAGCCCCAUCCCCCGGGCGGGGCGGAACCGGGCCGGGCCGAGCCGUGCCGUGCUCGCCGACGGGGCGGGCGGUGUCCGGGCUCGCGCCGUCCGCGCUCGUGUCGCCCAAAAAUGUCUCAUUAGCUAACUACUGUCCGCCGUGACGUCACCGGGGCGGCGCAGCCAAUGGGCGAGGCGCUGGCGUGGAUAUUAAGGGAAAGUUAGUGCAAAGGCAGCACCCCUCUUUUGCUGUCAUUGACAUUUAAACUGUGUGGCAGGUUCUCGCGUGGAAAUUGGCGACCGGAGCCGCCAGGUACCGCCGCGCCCGGACCGUGCGCUCCCGCUGACAGGAUGCGUGCGGCGGGACGCGCGGCCUCGGCCAGCGGCGUUUAGGACAUCCAGGAGGGGAGCAGCUCGGCGGGACGGCCCACGGGACUCACAGGUUCGUGCUUCAUCUCGGACUUUACUUUCUUCUUCUUCUCUUUCCCUCGGGAAAAUUUUCCUCGGCGUCCCCGGAAUGGUGUCUGGCUAACUCAGUGGCAGGUGUUACUUUGGAAAGUUUGGGGGAAGAGGAGGGGAGCAAGGGGCUGCGGGGUGAGGGAUGUUCUUGUCUCAAUUUGGUGCCUCUGGUGUUGCCCUUACCUUCAAGGGGGGGGAUCCCAUCACACUCAAACGCUCCCGUGCGUCCAUCGCGACAUUCGGCUCCGUUCCUUAAAAACUCGGGGCAAAACUCGAAACAAAACAGGCUGACCUAGGCCUGAGCAAGGCGGCAGAGCUGCUGCAGGUGGGCUCUGCCGGGUCCCGCAUCCUCCAGGACGGGCUUUGCUCCCGGGCUGGAGGCUCCCAGCUCGGCCCCUGCCUCGGAGCGGGGUGGUCACCGCGGCCUCGGGGGAAGGGCAGGGCAGGCAGCGGCGGAGGGACAGGCUGCAGUCUCUUAAGAGCCCAUUUUGUGCUAUUAGGAAGCGGUGGCAGCUUCUCGGCGGGACAGGGGAUGACAGUGCAUGACGGCCGAGCAGCCCAUUAUCCCGCUCCCAUUGAGGCGCCCUUUCACUCACAUGCAAACUCCUUGGCAGAGUCGUUUGUCUCCUCAUUGUACUUUAUUUAAGAAUGCAAUGGUUGUCAGGGCUCUUAUUCAAUUUCAAGAUACUUUAUUGAUGAGCUUUGACUUUUAGCACUUUUCACAUGUCAAGAGAAGUCAAGUGUAUGCGGCUACGACUUCAUUUUAUGCUUUGCGCGUUCAUACUCUCCACUUUCCGCCGUGGCUCUUGGAAUUUCUUUUCCCUGUCUCUUUUCCUUCUUCCCUUUCUUUUCCCCAAGCCCCAUUUUUUUUUUUAAUUGUUUUUCCCGAUGCAGACCCCCCCUUCCCCCUCCCCCCGGACCACUCGCCAUAAGCGAUUGGGACACCCUGAGCUCGGGCUGGUGCUCCCAGUGUAACCUUAAAUGCAUGCGCUGAGGGGUUGCUUUAGAGUUUACUGAGGUGUGUCUUAAUAGUCCGGCAUUCAACAAAUGUACUUGUGGUGUGUGGUCAGAGCAGCAAAGUCAUUUACUUACUUUCCCCCUUGAGUUUCUGGCAGCCAGUGAAGGGGGUCCCUUGCAAAAGGAGAGGGAAGGAGGGGGGAGCCUUUUCGGACGGGCACAAAGCGGCAGCACUGCCCAGCGCCCGGGUCUGCCUUUCUCCAACUCCUCCGUGGGAUCUUUAAAAAAAAAAAAAAAAAAAAAAGGGGGGGGGGGGGGGGGGGGGGGGGGGGGGGGGGGGGGGGGGGGGGGGGGGGGGGGGGGGGGGGGGGGGGGGUUUGAAGGAUAAGCCAAAAAAAAAAAAAAAAAAAAAAAAAAAAAAAAUCAGUCCGGCAGCCCUUAGUCAACAAAUGGCACGUGGGAGAAGUUGGUGAGUGUUUGGUAAAGGACUCUUCAGGGCCUUUCACAAGAGCCCUCAAUACACAAAGUAAAUGGUGUAUUUGCUCUGCUCUUUCCCGGCCGGCCAGAGCGGGGAAGGGGGGGGGGGGGGGGGGGGGGGGGGGGGGGGGGGGGGGGGGGGGGGGGGGGGGGGGGGGGGGGGGGGGGGG
ensembl:lncRNA